AACCCUUUCCAAAAGAAAAAAAAAAAGAACCCUAGAAACACGCCGAGGACCUGCAGCAAAGGUGUACGAUAGUGGGGUUGGCGAGGGGUGUUGAUGUAAGCGUGAGAGAAGAUCAUGCGUUGAUGCUGCAGCCUUGCAGUGCAGAUGAUAAUAACACUCUUCUUUUUCUUUUUCUUUUCUGUGCUGCUGUUGUCAGAGAGCUGGAUGCUAAUCUUGGAGGGUGCAAAGCCGACAAAAUCAGAGAAAAGGUUAAAGAGAGAGGUGAAAAGCAACCAGUAAAAAUUAGGUUUAAGGCAGGAACAGUGCGGUGUACGUGGGGGUAACGCACAGACAAACACCAGAGAAAAAAGAAGACCAUAACCUGCUAAUUUUGGCACCUUUGUGUGAGUUUAAGUGUGUCCUAUAAAUUAUUUGACCUCUCAAUAAUCACAAAACCCUUUCAUGGGGCAUCCAUGUGAAUGGACUUUGCUUUAACCUCUCCUUUGUGGGCUCCCUUCUGGGUUUUGACACGUGUAAUAUUCUUUAUCGUCCUUGUUUACUGUUCCCCUUCUUCCAUGCUAUGUCAUGUUUUUGGGCCGCAUUUCUUGAUAUUUCAAGUUUCAUCUUAUUUAGUAUUUGAUUAAAAUCGCUUUCUAGAAUUAGUCCUUAAAGUUUAUCGUCAAAGAAAAAACAUGUAAUAGACCUAAAAAUAAGGUUGAAGAAGGCAUGGUCUUAGCUAGUAGUGACACUGUUAUUUCACUUACUAUUACAUGAAUUAUUAAAUUUACUUUCGAAAUUAGGCAGGUUUUCUAUGUGAAGGAAUUUAUGUAUAGUAAGG
rnacentral:lncRNA from 1 species